GCAUUAGACGGUUUGAACUUAAGGAGUGUAACACUGUUUUUUUGCUGAUACCAGUGAAUAUAAAGUCAUUCUGUUCAGUGUAUAUACGGACCGUUUCCUGUUUGCCUGUCUCGUGUGUUCAUGCUGUAAUAAGUGAAGCUUAGCAUCAUGCUGUCUGUAUAUGUAUCCCAACCCUCACCAUCUCUGCUGGCCCCAUUGUACAGUAAUGUAAAAAAAUAUAUAUAUAAUCGGACUGUGUGUAUGUAUGUGUUUAUCUUUGCUUUUGUUUUUUUGGGUGGGUAUGUGUGAUCUCUGCCGGUGGGAGGGGGUUUGAGUACGGUUUCAUUUGGGUUUUUGUUUUUGAUUUGUCAUUUUCUUGUAGUGUAGUGUAGACAACGUCAGGUGUAUUACGUACUCAGUGUGUAGUGGAUUAGCGCUUACAGCUGAGCCUGCAUGUAGGGCGGGCAUAGUGUCAGUAUUGAUGUCAAUGUAUCUCUAAUCUAUCAGAAAUAGCCAAGUCCUAUUCUGCUAAUAAUAUACAGUCUAUCUUUAAAAAAAAAAAAAAAACAGAUUUUGUACUAAAAGAGGAGAAAGAUAACUACAUAUUUUAUCUUCCAGUUUUAAUCAUUGUUUAUCCAUGUUCAAUGACACUUCUUUUUUUUUUUCUUUUCUUGUUUUUUGUUUUGUUUUUUAAGUUGUAUUGAUAGUAAAAUAAAAAAAAAUAUAUAUAUGAUAAAGCCAGCUGAUAUUAAAAGCAUUGCCAAACAAAAAGCUUUGGAUCGAAACUUGAACUACAGAAGAAUGAUUAGUUUUUACUGUGAACAUUGAUGUAGACAGAGGCUGCAGCUACAUGACGAUGCUUUUUUUUGUAAAAGCAGUAUUUUAAAAAACUAUUUUAGGCAGUGAAGUACCAACAACAGUACACCACUGUUUACCCUUUAAGAGUCUGUGGGCCCUAACUCUGUUUGGCUUAUUCUGUCUGGUUGACAUGUUAAAAACUGUGGG